rnacentral:lncRNA from 1 species
UCAUCCUCAUCCCAUGGAUCCAUACUAUCUGACAGAAGGACAUCAACCUUAUGUGCCCGAGAAUCCUGGACAUCAACCUUAUGUGCCCGAGAAUCCUUCCACGCACAUUCUAGGCCCAUAUGGAAGGUACAUUCUAUUUUCUUUUAAAUUUUUGGCACCAUUGCAUUUUGCCCUAAUAUUCUCUCUUUAGGCUGUUGCACGCAGCUCUUAGGACAUUAGUGGUUCAAUGUCUGAUCAAACUUCUAAACUAUUUGAUUGCCCCAUAAAUAAAAGCCUGGCAGUAGCCAUGGUUCUGUAAUUGUAAUUAGGGGUGUUCAAGAUCGAAACCAAUUCAAUCCAACCAAUUGAUCCAAUCCAAAACAAUCAAUUUUUUGUCAGAUUGAACCUCUGAUUGGAUUGGAUUGCAAUACCAAUCCAUCAUGGAAAAUCCAAUGUUAUUGGAUUGGUUUAUGGAUCAAUGUGGUCAAAUCCAAUAUAAACCAAUCCAACUGAUUAAUUUUUAUUUUCUUUAUUUAUAUUUUAAAAGAGCAUGUCAAUUUUAUAUUUGACUUGCUAAAAAAACUAAGAUCUAAUUUCCCUAAAAGAAUAGAACCUAAUUUUGUAUCGUUAUAAAUAUAAAACAAAAAUAUAGAGUACAAACUGUAAGCCAC